CGUAAAGAACUUGCCCUUUAGACUGGGAUAACAGAGGGAAACUUCUGAUAAUACUGGAAUAAGUUAGUAUAUCGCAUGAUAUGCAAAUGAAAGCUACGGCACUAAAGGAGAGCUUUGCGUCCUAUUAGCUAGUUGGUAAGGUAAGAGCUUACCAAGGCGAUGAUAGGUAGCCGGCCUGAGAGGGUGGACGGCCACAAGGGGACUGAGAUACGGCCCUUACUCCUACGGGAGGCAGCAGUGGGGAAUAUUGGACAAUGGAGGAAACUCUGAUCCAGCAAUUCUGUGUGUGUGAAGAAGGUUUUAGGACUGUAAAACACUUUUAGUAGGGAAGAAAAAAUGACGGUACCUACAGAAGAAGCAACGGCUAAAUACGUGCCAGCAGCCGCGGUAAU
rnacentral:rRNA from 1 species